UACGAGGGGGGGCGAGCGUUGUUCGGAAUUAUUGGGCGUAGAGGGUGCGUAGGCGGUUUGGUAAGUCUGAUGUGAAAUCUAUGGGCUCAACUCAUAGUCUGCAUCGGAAACUGCCGGGCUUGAGUGUGGGAGAGGUGAGUGGAAUUCCUGGUGUAGCGGUGAAAUGCGUAGAUAUCAGGAGGAACACCUGUGGCGAAAGCGGCUCACUGGACCAUAACUGACGCUGAUGCACGAAAGCUAGGGGAGCAAACAGG
rnacentral:rRNA from 1 species